CAGUGGCAGGAUGUGAGCCACCAGCAAGAGAGGGCACCAGCAAAAGGCAUCUUCUAUAAGAUAAGGGUUAUAAAAUAUAUAGAUUUAUGAUAAUUAAGACUGAGCUAACAGAUGAGAAAUCCUAGUCAUUGGCCCAGCAGCUUUGUACCUAAUACAAGUCUCUCUAUGCAUUAAUUGGGGCCCUAACUCGGGCAGGUGGCUGGCAUAAAGCGCAUACAUGGCGGUGGGGCUUGGUGGCUUUUGGCAGAAAGAUUUAUCCUAACACUGCUGGAAAGAACUAUAAAGGUUGAUGAGAAAGAAAAGGUAUCAAUGGUCCUACCUUACACUGAACCCUACAUGCUAUGAGACCCACCUACCAGGUAGCUGCGCAAGGUGUAGGCAGAUCCACGAUUCCUGGACAAAGAUCUGCCUGUGAUGAACUCUCCUUGCUUCUUGGGCUCUUCAGUGCAGAGGUCAAUGACAACACAAGAGCUCACAAAAAAGGCUCUGCACUCCCGGCCACAGAGCAUCCUCUUCCUGUACCCAACACAUGCCAGGACCAUACACUUCACCAGGUCUACCAGCAGAAUAUUAUCACUGGACUGCUGGGGCAGAAACUUUCCCCACGUGUGAGGAAGCCACUAUUCCAGAAGAGUUAGCAGCGGUCUUCUCAAGACAAGAAAACAUGUGAAACACUUUGACAAGAAAGAUGGAGAUUUGGCAUGAGGAGAGUCACAAACUCAGCGCAGAUCACACAGACAGGUAAACAAAAGGAGCUCCAGCAUGUUCUUGGGAGGACAGGAUUCCCUCCUGGAGAAGGAACAAUGGCUUCCUGGGAUUCCGUGGAUGAAUGAGUGAUGGCAAGUGAGCAGGAAGACCAACGACUGUCUCUGUUCCUUUUCCUGGGUUUGCUUCUCUCACGGUGGCCCAUGAACAUGUACAACUGCUAUCCAAUGUCACUGGUGACUAUGUUCAAGAAGUGCCAGGUGGCAGGGCUGGAGAAAUGGCUCAGGGGUUAAGAACGGUUGAUGAUCUUCCAAAGAACCUGAGUUCAAUUCCCAGCACCCCACACUUGAACAACUUCCUAUAAUUGGAGCUCCAGGGAAUCCAACAAUAUCUUUAGGCUUUCAUGGACACCAGCACAUGCACAUAAACAAAAACAAAUUUUUUCCAAAGAAUUUGUGCUGGGGAGAUGGUUCACUGGUUAAGAACACUUGCUGCUCUUGCAAAAGAUUGGGGUUUG